CAUUCUGUGUGUAAACAGUGGUCAAAUGUCAUAAACUAUGUUCUACAUACUUAUUCAAAAUUACUUAUUUGAAUCUCAAUGAAAUAUGCUUUCGAUUGAUCUCUAUAAAGGCCAAAUUAUAGUUUUUUAUAAUACAUUUUUGCAAAUAAAAGCCCAAUAAAUUUGUUUUUCGCACAUUUUGCACCAAACUGGAGUCAUUUUUUGAAAAGAGAUUUCAAUCAAUGAAAAAAUGGACGUUGCAGCUCAUUGAAUCGAUUGGUAGUGAUAAUUUUCUUGAUUUGAAAGGAAGUUCUCUUAACAUAUUCAAUGUAAAGUUGGACUUUCUUUAAAAAAUAAAUGUUUUUUCGUUUUCGUACGUAGAUUUAUCUAUUUAAGUAUUCUAUUGACACGUAUUGGUUAAGUAUUGGUAUGGUACUUUGAUACAACCAUACUAAAAUGUCAUCACAACAAACAACAAACAUAAAGCGUGACCAACAACGUGAUGGUGCAGCAAAUUCGACGAACGGUAAAUCUUAUAAAAUGAAAAAACAACAUACCACCAUUCAAACCAUCACGAUCAAAUGGACAAUACGAUUUAACUCCAAGUCGAAACCACAAAAAGCGAAACAAGCUAGAAAAGCAACAAAAGCGAGAAAAGCAACCCAAUAGUCGAGUACGAAGAAGAUGACACUUUGAACCAUCCACCACCCCGCUGUAUGGACAAUUCGUUCACCGCAAGUACCUUCGUUGGAUAUGGCACCAUUUCAAAAUCAACAAAUAGAUGCGCCAAGUACAUCAAUUUAUAACAUUCCCGACGAGAAAUUUGCGGUAAAAUAGGUGUACGCCGACAUUCCGUCGCAUAUCCGCGGAUACUCGCAAUGCGAAUAGGAAUCCACAAUAAAAGUUGCCGCAAAAUGUUAUCGCUGAAUACCCUGCGACUAUUCGCGCUGCGAACAACAGUACAGUUCCAACCUGAAGUUGGCUGCGCAUGACAUUUCAGAGUAUUCGCAGGGUACUCGCCAACUAUCCGCAAUGCGAUUAUUCGCAAAUUUCUUGUCGGGAUUCUAGCGGAACAACACCCAGCGAAAAAGACGAAGUCUGGUUUUGGUGGCAUCGAAAAUUCGGUAGAAGUGGCAGAGACCUUGAGCACUCUAUCUACUUUGACAACAUCACAAGAUAAUCCGUCCCCUCCUGGUGUACGCUAUCAAUGCUGCAGCUCAACAUGUUGCUCAAUAUCCUGAAAGCGAAACUGCUGCACGCUUAUUCGAAUCUAUGUUACUAGCAGCAACAAGGGCGUCAAUAUUCGGAAUGGGCUUGAAACAAUUUACAGAGGGUAUGCCAGUCGAUGAUCGAUUGAAGGUCGGAAAAAAGUGGCAGGAUAUGAUUAUGAGUAAUAAUAAGUCUGAGCAAUAGCCGCGAUUAAAUUCAAAAGUAACUAAGAGAAUCCAAAAAUGCCAUUCAAUAAUAAUAAUUUUAAUAAGAGUUCAAACGCAAAAUGUUCAAAUUAAAAAAUAAAUCCAAGUUUUUUUUUGCUGAUGCUAAAUCGGUCGAAAGUUCAAAACGAA